rnacentral:lncRNA from 1 species
UGAAAGGAGCAGCCUGGAGAAGCUGCUGUCAGGGCUACAGCAGGAGGUGGACUCCCAGCACGCUGAGCUGGAGGUACUGCGGGGCUCCUCACUGGAGCUUCAGAGACAGCGGGACCUCCUGAGGCAGCAAAGGGAGGAUCUAGAGAUGCAGCUGGCACGCCAGCGCACAGAGGUCCAAAGAGGUGAGAGGAGUCUGGAGGAGCUUGAAGGGAAGCAUUCUGAUUUGCGCAGGGAACUUGUGACAGUAAAAGAGGCGCUGAGUCAAAUCACCCUGCAAAAGGAAAUGUUGGAAGAUGAGAAGGCCAGCCUUGCUCUGGCUCUUACCAAGGUAGGCUCCUGUGUUUGCAUUAGGUAGCCUGAUUUAUAUUAUUGUAUUCUACCUGUCCUGAUUAACUAAAUUCUUCUAAUAUUUAUGUUACACUCCUCAGCUGGAGUCCCAAAAUUCUGCACAAGAGUUAUCCCUCACCAAACUGCAUAAUCAAGAGGCUGCCCUAAAAGAUUCUCUGGCUAAAAUGGCUGCUCUUAGUGAAGGUUUAGCCAAAGACAAGGUGGAACUCAAUCGUAUUCUACUACAGACAGAAUGUGAAAAAGCAGAGCUUGGUGAACAUAGACGGGAUGCUGAAGUGGAGCGGGCAGCAGCCAGGGAGGAGACAGCACGGGUGCAGCAGGAGAUGAUGAAUCUGCUUGCUGAGAAACAAGCUCUAGAUAACUCCCACAGCCACUUGCAGGAUCUCUGCCAGAAAGCAGAAGCAGAGCUGAACCGGCUGCAGAAGGAGAACGCUCAAGUCCUGGAGCAGCACUCUCAGGUCGCCAAGCAGAUGCAGAAACUGUCAGCUGAGCUUUGUUCAUGCAGGAAGGAGCUUGAGACACAGACCACAGCCCUAAAGAGAGCUACCCAUGCCAGGGAGGAGCUGGCAAAGGACAAGGCUGCACUGGACGUCAAGCUGAACUCUGCUGACCGAAAGGCCUGUGGUCUCAUGCAGGAGCUGGUUGCUCUUAGGUCUGUUUGGUUGUGUAUGUGUGUGACCUCAAAAAUGUGCGGGAGCAACCAGUUUUCACAGUUUUUUUGUUUUUUUUUUAUGUUUUUUUCAUAUGUCACAGGACAUUUAAAUUUGGUUUAGGCCUGCAUUUGUUAUGGUUGAGGUUAGGUUAGGAGUGUAAGAAAUAACUGUAAGUCUGUGCAGUGUCCUCAAAAGCAUCUGAGAUAAAUAACAUAAGUACAUUUAAAGUUUUUUUUUUACGCAAAUUUUACUUUCUGAAGCGCAGCAAACCCUAUGUAACAAGAGUCUUUAGGUAACAUGGUAUUAUUUGGAAACUAUGCUGGACCAUGAUGGAUCAUUGGAUUUUAUUACCUUCUACACCUUGUGGUUCAAAGGUCUUUUUUUCAGUGCCUAAACUGCUGUGUUCCAGAGCAGAAAAGGAGUCCCUAGAGACAGCUCUGUUUGAGAGCCAGGAGCUUGCCUCGUCUCUGGAGGCUGACUGCACCAGGAUGGAGGGAGAGAGACGAAGUUUGCUGCUGGCUAAUGAGGCCUUGACGCGUGAGUAGUCCCCUCCCUCAGAGAUACACUAUCCUCCAUGCCAAACCCCCUGGCCAUGAAGCCUUUCCAACAGCCCACUAGAGAU